rnacentral:rRNA from 1 species
UACGUAGGGGGCAAGCGUUGUCCGGAAUCAUUGGGCGUAAAGCGCGUGUAGGCGGCCCGGUAAGUCCGCUGUGAAAGUCCAGGGCUCAACCCUGGAAUGCCGGUGGAUACUGUCGAGCUCGAGUCCGGAAGAGGCGAGUGGAAUUCCUGGUGUAGCGGUGAAAUGCGCAGAUAUCAGGAGGAACACCAAUGGCGAAGGCAGCUCGCUGGGACGGUACUGACGCUGAGACGCGAAAGCGUGGGGAGCAAACAGG